GUUAAUAAGAAGCUUAAAAUCCUGAUAAUUCUUCAUAGAAAUAUGAUAGAGAAAAUGUACCUAUUGGAUAGAAUGACUUAUUCAAUUGUCAGAACCAUUGUCUUCUAAUACUAUGAGUUAAGACCAAAUUAUUUUUGUUGUCAUUCUUCUGUCACAGAUGUUUCGUAGUUAAGCAACAAAGUACAUAAGACAUUGGAAAUGCGUGCAGUGCUUGCUAGGUUGUUCACUUUUGCGUUAUGCUGCAAAAAAUCAUGCUUGAUUUUCUCUCUGCCCAUUCACUUGAUUAUGAAAAGAUAUAUCCCAGGAACAUGGUUUCCCCUGCUCUAUCUCAUUUCAUACCAAAGUGAGGCACAUGUUCUCCUUUUUACAUCACUUGCCUUGUGUUUCUCUGAUGUCAGUACCUGUUGUUGGAGAAAAUUAGGAGAGAAGGUAGGAAGGGAACUCUAACUUAUAUUAUAUUACUCUCAAAUGAGAGGAAGUCCUGGACUUGGACUUGUAUUGCAAUUCACUCAACACAUAUAUUUAUACUAGUGUAUGGAUAAUUCUAGAUACUUAAUAGGAUAACAAUAUCAUUAAUACUUAUGCUUGCACCUAUAAGACUUAAAAAGACACAUUGGAAUUAUUUCGCAAAUGUUUUGUCGGUCAAGAAUCGAUGCAUUCCUGUUUUCUGUUUCAUGCCAUCCCUUGUUUGUUUACUCCUUUUCGUUUCCUUUGAACAGUUGGCAGCCCUGAGUAACGAGCACAUGAGAUGGCUUGACACCGAGGAAGUAAGAAGCGGAAACGUUUCACGUAUUUGUAAUCUUAUUCAUCGAUUCUGAUAUACGUGUCCUCGAAGUAAAUGUAAACAGUGAAGGUAAUUACAACAGACAAUAAUGGAUGAUCAUGUUUUAGGAAGGUUCUGUAAUUCUUCUAAAAAAA